AAAACAAUAUUUUUUUACACUUUAUUUCUCUGUCGUUUGUGUUAAAUUUCACUGCACUUGUGUCGGCCUGUGCUCACGCUGCAACUAUGGCAGGGUUGUUUUAAAAACCACACAAAUGUCAAAACUCAAUUGUCAACCAGGUGCAAGAUAAUGAACAAAACAAAAACAUUAACAACCGCGGCUGCGCUGAAAACCGCGAAAUUCAAUCGUUUUCGAGAGAGCAAUUCGCUAAAUGGAAAGGAUAAUGUGUAAAGAAGGGACUUUUGCAAAAUAUUUUAGUGCGCAAGGAUGUACAGGAAAAUGGCAUAGACGUAGAGUUCAUUGCGGUGUCAUAUUUGCAAAAGUUCAGUAUUCAAGCACAGUAGUGCUUAAGUUUUUCGUGGGUACCGGUUGCGUCUAAAUGGUGCGGAUAAUUGGAUAGAGUUGGAUUAAUUGGUGAACACUUUUAGUUAUCCAUUCUUUAAAAGAAUCAGAUUAUAAUAAACUAUAAGUAUCUAGCUGAUCAAUGAACUGAUGAAGAAAAUAGAAUCGAAAAUUGUGUGUUCCUGUUGAAAACAAAAAAUUCUCGGAGGAUUCUUAACAGCCUAACAAGUCUCUUUAUAGUCUAGCUAAACAAACCCAUUUAUGUAUUUAUAUGUGAAAAAUAAAAUAAAAACUUUGACGGUUUAA